GACGAACGCUGGCGGCGUGCUUAACACAUGCAAGUCGAACGCUGAAGCCCUUUCGGGGGUGGAUGAGUGGCGAACGGGUGAGUAACACGUGGGUAAUCUGCCCUGUACUUCGGGAUAAGCCUUGGAAACGGGGUCUAAUACCGGAUAGGACCUGUCCUCGCAUGGGGGUGGGUGGAAAGUUCCGGCGGUAUGGGAUGAGCCCGCGGCCUAUCAGCUUGUUGGUGGGGUAGUGGCCUACCAAGGCGACGACGGGUAGCCGGCCGGGGAGGGUGGCCGGUCAAACUGGGACUGAGACACGGCGCAGACUCCUACGGGAGGCAGCAGGGGGGAUUCUUGCGCAAGGGGCGAAAGCCUGACGCAGCAACGCCGCGUGGGGGAUGACGGCCUUCGGGUUGUAAACCUCUUUCGACAUCGACGAAGGGGCCCUGUUGUGGGGUUUUGACGGUAGGUGUAGAAGAAGCACCGGCUAACUACGUGCCAGCAGCCGCCGUAA
rnacentral:rRNA from 1 species